CGAAUGCGCAGCUAUACAUGCAGUCGAGCGGACAGAUGGGAGCUUGCUCCCUGAUGUUAGCGGCGGACGGGUGAGUAACACGUGGGUAACCUGCCUGUAAGACUGGGAUAACUCCGGGAAACCGGGGCUAAUACCGGAUGGUUGUUUGAACCGCAUGGUUCAGACAUAAAAGGUGGCUUCGGCUACCACUUACAGAUGGACCCGCGGCGCAUUAGCUAGUUGGUGAGGUAACGGCUCACCAAGGCGACGAUGCGUAGCCGACCUGAGAGGGUGAUCGGCCACACUGGGACUGAGACACGGCCCAGACUCCUACGGGAGGCAGCAGUAGGGAAUCUUCCGCAAUGGACGAAAGUCUGACGGAGCAACGCCGCGUGAGUGAUGAAGGUUUUCGGAUCGUAAAGCUCUGUUGUUAGGGAAGAACAAGUGCCGUUCAAAUAGGGCGGCACCUUGACGGUACCUAACCAGAAAGCCACGGCUAACUACGUGCCAGCAGCCGCGGUAAUACGUAGGUGGCAAGCGUUGUCCGGAAUUAUUGGGCGUAAAGGGCUCGCAGGCGGUUUCUUAAGUCUGAUGUGAAAGCCCCCGGCUCAACCGGGGAGGGUCAUUGGAAACUGGGGAACUUGAGUGCAGAAGAGGAGAGUGGAAUUCCACGUGUAGCGGUGAAAUGCGUAGAGAUGUGGAGGAACACCAGUGGCGAAGGCGACUCUCUGGUCUGUAACUGACGCUGAGGAGCGAAAGCGUGGGGAGCGAACAGGAUUAGAUACCCUGGUAGUCCACGCCGUAAACGAUGAGUGCUAAGUGUUAGGGGGUUUCCGCCCCUUAGUGCUGCAGCUAACGCAUUAAGCACUCCGCCUGGGGAGUACGUCGCAAGACUGAAACUCAAAGAAUUGACGGGGGCCCGCACAAGCGGUGGAGCAUGUGGUUUAAUUCGAGCACGCGAGACCUACCAGUCUUGACAUCCUCUGACAUCCUAGAGAUAGGACGUCCCUUCGGGGCAGAUGACAGUGGUGCAUGU
rnacentral:rRNA from 1 species